CCCAACUGAGCAUCUUGCCUCUGCCUUAUCAUAAUGAUGAAAACCCGAUAUGUUCUUCUGUCUCUCUUCACCUUCACAAUCUUUCUCAAUCCAGGAAGAACUGACAUCCUUGGCGUACAAACAUGUCGUUUAUUCAGUGGUAUGUGCAUCAACUUUAUGUGUCCUCCACCACGUUUCAAAAUCGGAGAAUGUCGUCGGUUUUACAAUUGCUGUGUAAUUGCUGCCUCUGAGUGAUGGGACGAUACCUCAUCUCUGCUUGUGGAAUCAACAAUUCCAGCUUUAUCACCACCCUUUGCAAGAAUGCAUUUGGGGCUCUUCA